AGAUGCGUCUCUGCCAAGUCACAUAUGUUGGCCAGAGGUGUGUUUAGGGAACUUGGCCCUCUUCAGAAAAAUACAGUCUCCUUGUUCCUGGCCAGAUUUUAAUGUUGCUCUACCUUUUAGCUUAUGAAGCUUCAGGCUGUCUGUACAAAUGCUGUCUGUUUUAAUAGAGUGCUAAUUGCAGUAACGGGCAGGGCACUUAUGUCUGUAAUCAUCACAUCAACGCCACUUGGCUUAAUCCUUGAAAAUGGACAACAAGCUAUUACUAAACCAUAAAAAUCACAAAUUGUGCGUGCUGACCUAGAGACACCUCCAAUCAAUGAGAAGCAGCCUGAGAGCCACCAAAGGCUCUUCAAUGUCCAGCUGUCACCGACAUUCCCCAAGAACUUCAAAGAUUUUAAAGGCCACCAUUUCCAUGCACGUGUCUCUUGGCGUUGCUGCUGUUUACACUAUGUGGAAGCUGGACACUCAGCCUGUUUCGGGGGGACCCAGGCUAAAGGUUCUGCCCUAGGUGUGUAGAGACGGGGUUCCACCGUGUUAGCCAGGAUGGUCUCGAUCUCCUGACCUCGUCAUCCUCCCGCCUUGGCCUCCCAAAGUGCUGGGAUUACAGGCUUGAGCCACCGCGCCCCGCUCUUUCGUGUUCCAAAGGCUUUUUAAAUAAACUUCCACUCCUGUCCUGGAUUCUGCUUUAUGGCCCUCAGUCGAAUUCUUUCUUCUGAGGAGGCAAGGACUGAAGUUGCUUCUGACCAGUACAGGACCUGGAAGAAGUCAUGCCACGGGCCAGACCUUAACAUUCCUUUCGGCUUACCCCAGGAUUUCAGACGAAGCUUCACUUUCCUAACCAGUCACAAAUCAGAGAAUUUUUGAUUCCACCUAUGACCUGUGAGCUCCUGCUUCAAGAUAUUCCACCUUUUUUAGGCCAAACCAAUGUAUAACCUCCAAGUGUCGAUUUACACUUUCGACUGUAACUUCUGCUUUCCUGAGAUUUACCCCUGCCUUUAAAAACCCUUGCUUGUAAUCCCUCAGGGAGGCCGUGUAUUUAUUAAUCAUGAGCUGCCCAAUUCUCCUUGCUUGGUGCCCUGCAAAUAAACACCCUCUUUUCUCCCACUGC
ensembl:lncRNA PPP1R3B-DT PPP1R3B divergent transcript